AUUGAACGCUGGCGGCAUGCCCUACACAUGCAAGUCGAACGGUAACGGGCCUUCGGGUGCCGACGAGUGGCGAACGGGUGAGUAAUACAUCGGAACGUGCCCGAUCGUGGGGGAUAACGAGGCGAAAGCUUUGCUAAUACCGCAUACGAUCUACGGAUGAAAGCAGGGGACCGCAAGGCCUUGCGCGGACGGAGCGGCCGAUGGCAGAUUAGGUAGUUGGUGGGAUAAAAGCUUACCAAGCCGACGAUCUGUAGCUGGUCUGAGAGGAUGAUCAGCCACACUGGGACUGAGACACGGCCCAGACUCCUACGGGAGGCAGCAGUGGGGAAUUGUGGACAAUGGGCGCAAGCCUGAUCCAGCCAUGCCGCGUGCAGGAUGAAGGCCUUCGGGUUGUAAACUGCUUUUGUACGGAACGAAAAGCCUUCUUUUAAUACAGGAGGGUCAUGACGGUACCGUAAGAAUAAGCACCGGCUAACUACGUG
rnacentral:rRNA from 1 species